GUCUGCGUAGCUCAGUAGGAUAGAGCACAGGAUUCCUAAAGAAAUUGGGCGCCUUAAGGAGAAAUCCUCAAAGUGGAUCUGCUCAAAUUCGGGGAAAGCUUCAUAGGAGACGAAAACUAUAUGCCAAUCCCGAGCCAAACCUCUCUUGAAAGAGGAGGAAGGUGUAGAGACUGAACGGGCAGCACCUAAAGAGCAUACGCUUUACGGUGAAGAGACAGUCCAGACCACAAACAGCUUAUAAAGCUGGCGGUGAAAAUCGAAGUGGUAUGAAUCCUGGGGCCGCAGGUUCGAAUCCUGCCGUAGACACCA
rnacentral:tRNA from 2 species